rnacentral:rRNA from 1 species
GACGAACGCUGGCGGCGUGCUUAACACAUGCAAGUCGAACGGAAAGGCCCCCUUGUGGGGUACUCGAGUGGCGAACGGGUGAGUAACACGUGAGUAACCUACCCUUGACUUUGGGAUAACUUCAGGAAACUGGGGCUAAUACCGGAUAGGAGCUCCUGCUGCACGGUGGGGGUUGGAAAGUUUCGGCGGUUGGGGAUGGACUCGCGGCUUAUCAGCUUGUUGGUGGGGUAGUGGCUCACCAAGGCUUUGACGGGUAGCCGGCCUGAGAGGGUGACCGGCCACAUUGGGACUGAGAUACGGCCCAGACUCCUACGGGAGGCAGCAGUGGGGAAUAUUGCACAAUGGGCGGAAGCCUGAUGCAGCAACGCCGCGUGCGGGAUGACGGCCUUCGGGUUGUAAACCGCUUUCGCCUGUGACGAAGCGUGAGUGACGGUAAUGGGUAAAGAAGCACCGGCUAACUACGUG